UACGUAGGGUGCGAGCGUUGUCCGGAAUUACUGGGCGUAAAGGGCUCGUAGGCGGCCAACUAAGUCGGACGUGAAAUCCCUCGGCUUAACCGGGGAACUGCGUCCGAUACUGGAUGGCUUGAGGUUGGGAGAGGGAUGCGGAAUUCCAGGUGUAGCGGUGAAAUGCGUAGAUAUCUGGAGGAACACCGGUGGCGAAGGCGGCAUCCUGGACCAAUUCUGACGCUGAGUGAGCGAAAGCCAGGGGAGCAAACGGG
rnacentral:rRNA from 1 species